CCCUUAGAUGUUCUGGGCCGCACGCGCGCUACAAUGGCAGACUCAGCGAGUUACCUCUGUCGAAAGGCACAGGGAAUCUUUACAGUAUCUGUCGUGAUGGGGAUAGACCCUUGUAAUUUUUGGUCUUCAACGAGGAAUUCCUAGUAAACGCAAGUCAUUAACUUGCAUUGAUUACGUCCCUGCCCUUUGUACACACCGCCCGUCGCACCUACCGAUUGAAUGGUCCGGUGAAGUCCUCGGACCCAGUUGAACCUCGAGUUGAACAGGGAAAGUUGACUAAAUCUUACCAUUUAGAGGAAGGUGAAGUCGUAACA
rnacentral:rRNA from 1 species